ACUUUUACAGCCUUUAAAAAUGAGCAAAAAAAACAAUACAUUAUGAUAUCAACUGUUAAAGAUUCCUGGGUAAAUAUUCUGAUUAUUCUACAUCAGGUCAAGAUUAAUCUCAAUUUUGCCGAAUUCUAUUCAAUGAUUGAUUAUUGCUGCUCAAAAUGUAAUAUUCAUACUACAAAAUGCCUUCAACUUUCAUUGCAAAAACAUACAAAAUAUGAUUUUUUUUAAGGAAUUAUUAUAAAGAUGAUAAAGACUUGCAUGAUUUUAAAUGAAUUGAUUUUUCAGUUAAACACAUCUAUAGGCCUGUCACCUGGAAAUGAGACCCUAAGCAGGGGUAAUAAAUUAAACAAGAAGAGAGAGGGCAACAAAAACAGAUUCAAAAGCAAACAGGGAAAAAGACAACGUAAAGUUCUCAAAAAGAAACGCCUCCAAAAAACAACAGUGGCUGAAGUCAAAGAAGGGAGAACAUACCACAGUUCAAUCGGGUUAGAAGAUUUUGCAACAAUAGACAUAGAAGAAAUACCUGCAAUUCCUGAAGCUGAAACCUUUACAAACAUAGAUGAUGCACCAAUAGUUUGUUUUGAUUUAGAGACAACUGGUUUAAGUAGAUAUUCUGAUAUAACCCAGAUAGCUGCAUGCACCAAAGACAGUUCCUUCAGUCGAUAUAUAUUUCCAGACCAACAAAUUUCAAGAGAAGCAUCAGAAAUAACAAAAAUCACUAUUGUAGGACAAAAAAUGUAUUACAAUGGUAAUGCUGUUGUUUAUAAGCAUAAACAUGAAGGAAUGACUGAUUUUUUAACUUAUUUGUCAAGUUUCACAGAUAAACCUUUAUUGG